CCUAACGAAAAAGAGGAGGAUGCGCGAGAGAUGUGGCGGAGGCCGAGAAGCCGGCUCGUAAAGACGGUUAAGUCCAGCCGAACAAAAUAAUGCUCGUGUACUUAAUACCGUGGAUGAUGGUAAUCGUAAUUUUGUUGUCGAGAGGUGAAGGGAGAGGGACGGUAAUAAAGUUACACGCAGUUUAUUGGAUAUAACGUGCCAAGGAGGCGAGAGUGGCGGAGGAUUUCAUUAGCGUGCGAGAGAGGUUGCCAUAAUUUAUGGCUCGCGUUUUUUUUUUUAGUUUUUAGCUUUCCUCGGCGCAAACCUGCGAGAGCGCGUAAUCGAAAUUAUUACUAUAGUAUGCAAAAAUGCGUGAAAUGGCAAUUAAAUUUGAUUCGCUCUAAUGACAGAUUUCAUUAAUCGCUUAACUCUCUCUCUCUCUCUCUCUCUCUCUCUCUUUCUCUCCCUGUCUCUCUGUCAAUUAUUAGCGCCGGCCACGUCCCGGCAUUAAUUUCGAUAUCGCGCGACGUGGAGUUUACCGGGGAAGCGAUGAAUUCGAAGCUGAUGUCAAUUUAACGGGCAUUGCGUGACAGGUCUCUUCCGCUUUUCACUUCCACUCCGUAGUAUCCUCUCUUUGAUCGAUUCUCUAAACUCUCCACUUCGCUGGAUUUGCGCGCGAACCGCAAAACCAAUCGUUUCGAACAACCGGUGCCCGAAAGGUGCCCUCUCCCUUUCUCGCGAAUCCAUUCCGGCCGCUACUACGCGCUGCUCCGGUUUCACCGUUUUCAAUUUCAUUUCCGAAAAUCGGGGAAAAACAUUUUAAUUUGCAGCACGGUGCCUUACGGCGAUUUUAUAUGACCGCGCGCGCCGAGUUUCAAUCGAUUUCGGGGGAUGCAGUCGCGUCGCCGCCAUCGCCAUUGCCGACCGCGCAUACGCAUUUCCAUUUUGAUCGUUCCUCCUUUGAAUCGCCUGUCCGAGAGUUCGUUGAUUUACACACGCGGCCCGCAGUUGUGCAUGUUAAAUACGUAUGCGCACAUGUCGUCGCCCGCCACCGCUUUCACGGGGAUGAAAUCGAUAGGAAUCCUGACGCGCGUAUUGGUCAAUCGACACGCCACCGCCGUGUCAAGCUUCGACACAUGAUUUCUUCUUUAACGUACUAAUGUUAAUUUCUCUCCGGUUUCUUUUCUUUUUUCGACAACCACAAAAAUAUUUUGCUUCAUCGACUGAAUCUUGAAUCUUAAUUCUGCUCGUAAUGGAUGAAACUUUACAAAACGUCGUUCAUUAAAUUAUUAUUGACUACAAAUAGAUGGGGAAAUUUAAUAAGUUAUCACGUAAUAUUUUACAUAUAGUUAUUAUCAUAUUCCAUAACAAGUAGAGACGUGUUUAAAGUGGGGAUCGUUAUCUGUAUCCCGCUUGUGAAAUGGAUCGAGUACCCCGUUCACUUUUUACGCUUGUGCGAUACCCGACGCCGUCCCGUCGCGUUGUCACAUUGCCAUCACAAUGCCAUCCUUAUCGCCGUUUACGUCGGCGCACCUCGCUUACGCGCCGGGAUCGGCAACGUAGAUGAGAGUGCGACAUUCUCGUUAUCCUCUUGCAGCGCGAAUAUGACACGGGAUCUCCCGGGCGCUCAUCGAGACAAUUUAGCGUGCGUUCAUGCUCUUAGGCAGAUUAAAAUUUUUUCGCGUCAGUAUUGCAUUCUUCGUGCAUCCUAUAAUUCUCUAAAACAAGAGUGAAAAAUAAAGAAAGACGCAAGAGAGAGAGAGAGAGAGAGAGAUCCGCGGAAGCAUUUCUUUUCCCGCGCGCAAUUUGAUGCAGCAUGCCAGAUGCUGUAAAUGCGUUGGAGCGUGAAAUCGAUUUUUCGGCAAUGGAAGAAAGUUCCCAAUACCGAAACUCAAGUCUCCUAAAACGACACUUUUCAGAUAUUGAAAGCUAAAUAUUGGACUGUACAAUUAAUAAUGAUGAAAACAUUCCUAAAUAAUUAAAAAAUAAUCCAUAAUUUAUACAUCCGUGGUUUUUUUCUAUAUCAAAGACAAAAGCGAAUUUUUGAAACCGAGAAUAAAAUCUACACCAUUUUUUUAUGUAAAAUGCAUAAUUUAAUUAAUAACGAGUAUAUUAUUGAUAAGAUACCUGAAUUAAAAGUCUACUUAAUUUAUAUUUUGUUUUUUUAAGAACUUUAUUUUUAUAUAUGGAAAAAAGAAACAAAAAACAUAGCAUUUACUGUCUAUGUUCGACUUAUUUUUACUUAGGAAAUACUUAAUUAUUACAAAAUCAAAUCGCUGAUAUUGGAAAAAUUGCUACGUUGUUUAAUAGAAGACACUUUCUAGUUGCAUUUAUGUUUCUAAAGUUUCAUUUUUUAAUUUUUAUUUAAGAAAUAUAACCCAAAUACAAAUUGGUACGUCGGCAACAUUUCUUUCGGCGUCACGAUAGGUUUAGAUGCCGAGUCGUAUUCUCCCAUAACGUUCUUCUCUCGAUAACGUUCGGUAGCACCGAAGAGGAAAGUACGCGAGAACAAACGUUACACGCUCUCAUUGUACGCUCUUAAGCGAGGAGUCGCGCCGUAGCGGACACGCAAUGUUGCUCGCGCGCGUCAUUUCUCCGCGCCGCGGUCAGUGCACGCCGCGAGAGGUUUUCGCGCAAAUGUGAAAUGGGUAAUGAAAUUAAAAUAUUCAUGCCGCCGGAUCGAAGAAUAUCAAUCGGAGGAUAGUGGUUAUCUAUUAUUUAUCCGCGUUGCCGUUGAACGGCAUUCCUCAAGUCCGGAGUAGCCGUUCAAGGGCUAUCGGUCUGUUACGAAAUCAAUUCAUUCUCAUCGUCAACGACGUUCCGUUCAGAUCGAAUAAAAAAGUCCUGUCGAAAUCAAAAGUCACUUGCGAAAACGUCCGUUGUUUAAUUCACAAUUUUAUCGCGGAGAGCACGACCUCUCGACUUGCGAGAAUACAAUGGACGAAGGACGCCUCGUGCGACUUGUGUGCGUAAAAACGUUAUGCGCAGCACGGAGAUUCGUCUUCCGUCAUCUCCUCGGAUUGCGUUCCGCGAAUUACGACGCGGCGCUUCUCUCCCAGUUCUGUCGCGACGAGCGGAUGAGUAACGGCUAAUGAUAAUACAAUAAUUAUUAUCGCCUCUGUAGCCGCGUGGCGAGUCAGCGAGCCAGUGUGUUGUUGCCACCCUCGACACCCAGAAAGUCACGGGCGACCGGCGUGCGGUCGGGUGUGGCCGCAAUAAUUAUUUCACUGCGUACGAGCAAAUCAUAGUGCGUGCAUUGACUUACUUGACGUUUAAAAUGCAAAAUGGAUGACUUAAGUGGCACCCUUCCCGAUGCUCUAAUCAGUCGUGAAUUAAUUAAAGCUCACUAUCAGCAUUUCUUUGCAGCAUUCGAGGAAUAAAAUUUUAUGAUGUUAAAAUCAGGUUCGCCCUAAUUGCUAUCUUACUGGAGAUAUUCUACUCGGAGAUAUGCUAAUGAAUCUGAGUGAGUCGGUCGUCGCGGUUCAUCGUCCCGCUAUUUACGAGCGAAGUGAAUUUUACACCUCGCACUUUUCGUGGUAGACUCUUCUCUCACUUCGGGGAUGAACUCACGAUGAACAAAGGGAUCGGGUGAAAACGGUACCUGUAACGAAAUUGUAGGCUUCUUAUUACUCGACGUUCGCGAUGCACCGACUCGCCACGGGAAUUCUGAUCGGCCUCCCGGCUACAGAGUUCUGCGGAUAACGCGAGUUGGAGAAUCUCCCGAGAACUCGGUCCCGUUGCUCUCAAACUUCACUUUCGUGCAUAGAUUGUAGCACGAGUUGUGCAAGCCGAAGGGUUGUGCAAAAUAAUAUUACGUGCAAGAAACGAAUAAAAAUGGACCUUUUACUUAAAUAAUAAUUUUCACUUAUAAUCCUCGUCACCAACCAUUAAUUGAAAUGGUACAAAUACUAGGAAAUCUUUUCAGAAUUAGAGUUAUAUAUCAGAGGAUUAGCUGACUCGAGAUUGAAUUAAUCAACGUUCGAAUGUAAGGAUUUAGGCAUCAAUUUGUUCACGCUGAGUCGCCGAAAGCACGGACUAUCGAAUGAUUCGCGAAAAAAUAAGGCGCCAUGGCCGGCUCGUCCUUGAAAAGUCGACGCGAGCACACGGUUGCAAGGUGGGCAGAAGUCCACCGGGCGACCGGCACAGAUUGUAUUUCUUUUGGUGUGUGUGGCGAUUCAGGUAUGCUGCUAAAUCAACGACACGUAUAUAACGCACACAGGCGCGGGAACUGCGAGUAUGCCAGGCUGUGUUUGCGAGAAAAAGCGCAUAUUCAUCCAUACCCGCUGAUGCCCGGUGACUUCACCUGUACCACAUACGCUAGUUGCGUAUAUGACGAUGAUGCGUGUGUAGAUUGAGCGUGCAGGCAGAAACGUAGAUCGGCCGCAUGAGAGGAAGAGAGAGAGAGAGAGAGAGAGAGUAUGAGAGUGGAACAGGGAGAAGAGAGAAAUAGAGACAGGCAGUCUGAAUGAGAAAGGAGAAACAGAGAAGGAGAAUGCCUGGAAGGUUGGAUCGUUCGCUGCCGGUAGCAACGACCCUGGAUGCAUCGACUCCUGGGGUUGUUCGGUGGUAAGGGUAGCGGAUAGACGGAGAGAAUGAGAUGACAAGGGACGAAGGGAGACAGGCAUAAUCGGCGAGAGGGUGUGUUGAGAAGGAAGGCGUGAGAGAGAGAGAGAGAGAGAGAGAGAGGGAAGAGGGACGAAAAGGGAGCAAAUGAGGGAGGGCGGGAACGAUAAAGGUGCUGGAAACUGGGGGAGUUACCCUUCGUUUCUUGUCCUUCUUGCUCUCGUAGCCAUCCCGUGCAUAGUAUCUCUUCUUCUUCGCCACCCCGUUGCUAUUUAUGCUUUCCUUUCUCUCUUUCUCCUUCUUCCUCCGCUCUUCCCUUCACACAUCCCUUUCAGCUAGAACUCCCCUCUUUCGUCCCGAUCUCUCUCCAUCUCGCUUGCCCUGACGGCUCUUCGGCUCUUCACGCUAUUGAUCCCGCAGCAUCCACCGCGAAAUAACGACGUAGGUCCCUGUUUCUCUUGUUUUCCCUCUCCCAUUCUUUUUCUCUUUCUUUUGGGGUAUCUUUCUCUAUCGGCCUAUUUGUUUCUUCCUCUUUUUCAUUCUCUUUUUCACUAUUUCUGUCUUCUUUUGCCACUGAAACGUUCCAAUAUACUCCGCAGAGAUGGAAAAGAUGCAGCGUACCUGGGACCUCCGUCACGAUUCUACCUCAAAAAUGAGUUCUACCUCAAAGUAUUUGUCUGGGUGCAUAUUUUUUCGCCUGGCGCUUGGAAAACGUUCCGACAAAGAGCACUCUGAUCUGAACCGAAUCAUCUAUGUAUUUAUUAAGGCGAAGAAAUAAAAUUUUUUGCAUGCAUAAUUAAUGCCUCAACAAAAAAUUUCGUUGACCGCUUAAUCUUUCUAAUCCGAUUAAAACAUUUUUAGCAAGAAACAUCGCAUCUCUGUUUUUCUUGAAAGGAAAUUGAAAAAUUCAUCUGUUUCAAGAAGGUUGAUAUUUUCUGCGAAUUCUCUACGAUGAAAUUGCACUCUAUAAUUCAGGCAGGAAUUCAUAACGAGAGACUUGCUAGAAGUAAAAUGUAAGUCUGAUAUCUAAAUUACAGAAAAUUCGACGUAUUCAAAGACAUUCGAAUUCCGACAAAUCGAGUUAUUAAAAUCGACAGUUAUUGAAGAAUAAAUCUCGCUGUGCCGAUAUCUCGGUAUUAUAUAUACAUAUACUGAAAGUAGAAAAUAGAAUGAUAAGAUCUGGAAAACAUGUCGAAUUUUCAAGAAAAUUCUGCAAUGUUAAAAAUCUUUUGAUCAAUGAGUGUUUACACAUGGUGUUAACUAAUUAAGACGGCAUGAAAUUAUGGCGAUAUAUACAGCCGCAUGCAAAUGCCUGGCUCCUAAUUGGGCGGUCCAGAAUCGACGAAUAUCGGGCCGGAUCCGCGUCCAGCCACGAGGCCUUCGUUAUAGAGCUUAUUAUCUUCUCAUUACCGUGGCGCUGAGGAAGCCGAUAAUAUUUCUUCCUCGCAUUGGCGAUAAUCGGUGGUAAUUUCUUUCCGGCGGUGCCGCACGCUUAUUUCUCUCUUUCCCCACCUUCUCUAACCCCAGUUCCAGCCGAUGGUUCCGCGAAGACGGAUGGCGGAGCGUAUUUCUCGUGCGAGGCGAUUCCCGCCGGAGGAAGACGAAUGCAGGAGGCGACGUUUCGCUUUCCGACGCGCGAAGCGCUGCCCGAGAGAAAAGAAAUUACUUUCCGGAACGAAUGCUCGGGAUACAUAUGCGCGCGAGGAUUUUCGGUGGGCCAGGUGAUGGUGAUUCGGAAGAGAAGAAGGGAAGAAGACUGGAAAAAUGAGUUGCAGAGAAGGGGUAGAGACUCGGUCGAUCGAAUCGAAUUAUUCUCAUAAUGGGUACGGCUAUCUCGGUUUCGCCCGUUAACAAAUUAGCAUAACAGGGAAUUGGCUUGACUCGACUCAAGAGAGAGAGAAAGAGAGAGAGAGGAAGGGAGGGAGGGAGUCAACCCCAUCGGAAACCCCUCUCCCUCUCCCGCUAAGACCGUCUCGAGAGCCUGCGGAGAAUAGGCGUCGACGGAAGCCGACUUCCGACGUUGAAUGUCGCGUAGUUUGCGACGAGAAUUGGAUUCUGGAGGAUAUUGACUUAGUAUUAGCUGAGAUCUUAAAGGGUGUAUCGAAUUGUUCAGUUAAUUAUCACAGCUUGAUCGAGAGCUGUUUGUUAUAUGAGUUAAUCGGACCGAUAUAAAAUUCGUCUCAGGUUUAGUGUGUGUUCACAAACAGGAGAAAUUUUACAUAAAAAGAUGCCUCUUGUAAUUAAAAAAAAUUUAAAUUACGAAUUUCCUAAAAGUUAAGAGAAGUCGUUUAAAUAUUACUGCCAUUAAAUAUUACUGUUAUUCAGGUCGCUUUCGUGAUUUUUUGGACAACUUAUUACUCCCAUUACGUUAUUGCAAUUAUUUUGCGAUGGAGUUUUGAGGAAUUCGUUCCUUUUAAUAUAAUGAUUUAAUUGUGUCGAGAACGCAAUUUCCAUCGCGCAAAUCACAUUUCUCAUUCAAUGAAUGAGAAUCCGGCAUUUAUUCGAUAAGAAACGUCCGUUUGCAAAGCUUUAUUUUUUUCCUUUUGCACUCGUAAAUACGUGUAGACAGCCUCUACCUCUUUUUAAAUCGUUACACGACGUCACGCGGUUUUACUUUCAAGCGGGUUUUUUGACCGACCGACAAAAACCGACCCCUCCUCGAGGUCGAGAAGGGAUUUGUUCUCUUAGCGGAGUGGCGGUCCGAGGAUUGAAUAACUCCGACUGUGGAGUUGCGGCGCGACAGCGCUACAUGCCAUAUCUGCGAUAAAUCUUUCGAUCGCGUUGAUCCGUGAAUAAAUAUAUUCCUUUACAUUGUUGUCAUUCUUGAUAAUAAAUAACGUUUAAAUUAGUAUGACUAAAAUCUGUAGAAGCUCACGCAAUUAUAUUUAGUGACUUUAAUAAAAUUAUAGAAAAGCAGAUAUUACAUUAAUAUAAAACUAGUAAUAAUAAAAUAGUCACAAGACAUGUAGCUACAUUUAUAUUAAUAGUAUACAAGUAAUAAACUAGUUUAGUCACAAAGAAGUCUCUGUCGAGAGAAUAUGUGGGAGUGUUGUUGAUACGCGAGUAUUGAUUGUAACAUGAUCACAACCGACGAGUGAUUGAGAAUAAAUGUACUCUUUGCACUUGGCGUGAGUUGCAAAUGUUCAAUCUGUCCUCCAAUCUCAUCAGCGCCGAUAGAGAUACACUUGCUGGAAUCCCGGCUGCUCGCACAAGAUACUCCGCGAUGCGUAAACGGUGGUCCAGAUGAUUUGUGAGAGAAGGAUAAUGGGUAUCCCGGGCUCUGAUGCUGCUACUGCUGCUGCUGCUGCUGCUGCUGCUGCUGCUGCUGCUGCUGUUGCUGCUGCAGCCUCAUCGGCAACGGGGUGGUGUUCGUGGCGGCAACGACGGCGGGAAGACAGAUAGAGAGAACGACGAAGCGGAGAGACGAGGAUGACGCCGGAGAGGGCGGUGAACGCUCGCCGGCAGGGGUGAUGGACGUCGAGGGUAGAUCAUCGCAGGGCUUGUUGCAGGGACCGGCGGCGAUGGUGUCGGCGGCGGGCCUCUACGGUAUAACCAGGGGUGUACCCACUACGGUGCACCGAGGGGUGGUUUCCUCUCUGCUCGCUCGGGUCAGUGCCCUCCCGUAACAUUGAACCGCCCCGCGGUGCAGUCAGGGCCGAGCGAAGGGCGCGUGCGUCGUCGUACAACCCCCUCUGACAUCCCGGCGCGCACCAACGUCCCGGCCAGCCGACAAUCCUCCUCUCGUCUCCCUCCCCCCUCUCUCUCUCUCUCUCUUUCUCUUUUCUUUGCACCCACCCUUGUCAUGGUGCGGCACGGCGUACGCCCCUGUCGGCGUCUCGAUGCUUUAAUUUUUCCACCCCUUCUUGUACCCAUCCACCGCUGGUUUCCGUUUUAGACCUCGUCUGCCGCCAAAACAUUGUCUGCACCCCUUCUUUCCAUCCGAUCGCAAAGCGCGAUUAUCCUUAAAAUUGAGUCGCGGGACACCACAGUAAAUCUGCUAUUCCGGAAUCGCUCCAGCCAACUCGCCGAGACGCGGGAGAUGCUGCGCCAGGACGUUGCACCUUGCUCCACGAAGGAUAAUGCAUCUACUUGCGUGGGGGAAGAGAGUGGGGAGUCAACGAGAGAUUACUCUUUCCCUCCCUUUCUUUCUGUUCAUCUCUAAGUUGCAAAGAUAAGAAUAACAUUUUUAUUUUCUUUGAGGUAAAUAAAUUGAUAAAUAUUAAAUAUCUAUUUUAUAAAAGUUUAAUCUAAAUUAAAGUUUAUAGACGCACAAUAAAACAAUGUAGGAUUCUAAGGCUUUAGGUCUGCGAGCAACCAAGUCUAUGUAUGACAUUUCAAAGCUCUAUAGAAGACCGUCGGCCAUUGUAACCAGCUAAAAUUAAACUUAUGGUUGUAAUAUUGGAUAUUCUAUUAAUUAAAUGAGAAUCGGAGCUUUUUCUAAACGAUCGUAAGUGGCGAAUUUGAAACUUUGGUAAAAGCUUCGGUCGACGUUCCUGUGGGAAAUCCAUUCUCGUCGUUACCCGACGAGUCGAAUUCGAGAUUUCGAGACUUUCGAGGUGCAACGAACUCCGGCCCGAUCACUUCAGACGUCGGGUACAAAGUAGAAAAAGAAACGAUAUAUUUUCGGUGAGCGUAUACUGAACUGUAAGCACGCUAGCGUAGAACGACCUAUUAGUUUCGAUCGUUGUGUAAUUUAAUCAAAUUUACACAAGUAAUAACGUAUGGAUUGAUAUUUCGAAUUAGAAGGUAUAUCGCUUGUCAUGAAGGAAUACAAGUUUGAGUUGAACGGUUCUAGAAAAAAAAAAUCGAAUCAUAUUGUUUGUCUGUCUGUCGUUCGUUUCUUCAUCUUUUUUUUCUUCACUGGAGAUGAUCGAUGCAAAAUUGUGCUUAAAGGCGGCAAAUUGCACGGCUAAUUGGCUAAUGCACACAUGACCGGCGGCAGCGCAGGGGAGACCGCAAAAAUUAAAUGAGAUUGUUGUCGCGGGGAAAGUUUAAUUGGAAACUGUGCCAUCCCCGCACGCGAGUCAUUUCACCGCGGUUGUCGGUGCAUCGAAAUCAUCUCGAAUAAACAGAACGUCUGUCGGCUACGCGGUACACUUGGGACCGUGGUUUGGCUCGAAAAGUUUGAAACUUCAUUAGAAUCAGGCGUUGUUCUGACAACGCGGUGGAUCCACACUGCCGUGAGAGGGAGGCGAGAGGGAGAAAAUAGAGGGAGUGAGAGAGAGAGAGAGAGAGAAAGAGAGAGACUCGUGCAACCCCGACGACGACGACAACGGUGCGCUGAACUCUCCCUCGAUUGUUCCGUUGACGUAUCUUGAAGUGGAAAAAGGGGACGCAUCGCACAGGGAAUACACGAGGGGCGUGAAAUGGCCUCAUUUCGCAGCGCGGAGAGUCGCCGAUGUAGCACAUAUCGCUUCUUCUCGCUCACGAGUGUUAGAUACGCGCGCCCUACGCGAGGUGUAUCUACUGCAUGCCGGCCAACUUUUGCCAGUGACGUUUUCUGACGUUGAGGAGAAUCUCCGAAGCGGUAUGAUAUACAGUCGGCCGUGAUCAACCGCGCUAUAAUUUUCAUUUCGCGAAGGAAUAUUUACAGCGAAACUUCAUGAAACAAAUAUUUCCGAUGUUAUGCCAGAUAUCAACAAAAAUAAUAUAUCGAGCGACACUUUUACGCCGAAUAAGACAAGUUUCAAAGAGAAUUUUGCAAACUUGCGAGAAUCGGGGAAAAUAGAAGGUACGGGAUUAUUCCUUCUGUAGAGUUUAUUCAAAUCGAUACGUGGAAUGAGGUGAGUGUUUCAGAAAAAUGACUCUCGCGACGGACACACUCUAGAGGUGUGUAGGGCACUACUGCAGAGAAAGCUGAGGACUGGAAUAGUACUCCAUAAAGCAUUCAUGUGCGUUCGAGUCCUGGAAUAGACGGCGUGCCAUCAGUGGACAUUCGAAUUCUUCGAUCAUAACAUUAUUUAUACGCAGCGCAUCGCAGUGUCAUCUCUUGUUCAAGUUGCCGCGUAUCCUAUUCCACGAGGAAUCAGAAAACCUUGUGAGUAGCGCAUAACGCAGCAGCGCAGCGCUCGCGCGCGCGAGGGCGCGGGAGCGAAAUUGCGUUCAGCCCAAUCUCCCCGAUCCUGGAUAUCCCGUAAACAAAUCGGAUUUCGGUUUCCGAGCUUUCCGGCGAUGGUCGGGACGUGAAUAAAAGAGAAAAGCACUCGCGCGCUUUUACUUUGAGCAUCGGGAAAUACGCGGCGCGUAUAAAAUACUUUCGCGCCGUCGGUGUUUCGUGCAUCGCGACCGCAGCGAUAACGCGCGCAAGAAACGCGCGCGCGGCUGCCCGGCGACGCGUGCCACACGGAUCAUAGUUUCUCCUCAUCUUCUUCCCGGACCGGAACUCGAAGCGACGUGCAUUAUGUAUAUACUUCGAGUGCAAAAUGCAUUCGCGCUCAUUCUCCGUCACUCCGGUCGCUGCGGUCGUCCAUUUUCGAUUCCACGCCGGGACUCGCUCCCGUAUUUUUCCUAAGGUUACGACGACGCGAUUUCGCGGAAAAUCCGAUGAGUGCGACGAGAGGGUAGCCGUUCUUUCGCGUGCGCGCGGGGAGGAGUGCCAACGGUGAUGGCGGCGGCGGUGCACGGUGGCGGCGGCGACGGCGACGGCGACGGCAGCCCGCGCAAACGGGGGUGGAUGGGACGUCGAGAGGGUUUGCCAACACACCGUGCAACGAAUGGAGAUCGAUUCCGAGUCUGGGUCAGGCGAGGGCGUUCACCCCCCGGUGCAGCCCGGGAGACACGGAAUCCAGGAUCGUAGCUAGGCUAUCACGGCAUAGGCGGGGUACUGGCCGGGGGUCGGGGCUUCGGGGCUGCGAGGGAGGAGGGUGCACCGGCGCUCGGGACACUCCCUUCUGUUGGGUGCAAUGUACGCUCGCUCUCCUCUAUGUCCAAAAUCGCGGCUCCGGACUGCCGCAGCUCCUGCAACCCCGCGCGCGACGAGUCUCGGCCGACCGCGAUGACGCUCUUGCCGCAACCCCCAAGUUGACUCUUCCGAGUGAUUUAACGAAAGUACAUCUUCUUCGAAAGAAGACUUCGGCCCGAUCGAGGCUUCUGCAUUUGCGGAACGGAUGCUCCUACAUCUAUCGCUUAUCUGAGAUUAUCUUUCGUUGAAAUUACAUCCCUUUGGCUAGUCACGCAGUAAUUUCGCAUUUGAUUUAAUACGAUCUAGCAACAGAUUAUCAUAGAUUUGGUAACGAUACAUUGUUGUAAUGAUACAUGUUAUACUUCUAUAUGAUAUAUUAUAAGACAUUAUCUUCAUAAUUAUUAAACCAGUCAAUUUGCCGGUUGUACUAGCAUUGUCAGCGACGUAACUUGAUUCGGGACUUGUUUAUUAAAUCUAUAGGUUUCAUUGAAUUAAAAAAAGACGUGCUAUACUCGGAGAAAUUAAUUUUUUCCUAUUGUCCAACUAUUCGAAAUGGCUAUAACGCGGUUUCGCGAUGUCGUGUUUAACUUGCUUGCCUCAAUGUUUGUGUUUCGAUCGUAACGCAGCGGUUAACAGAGCAGUUUGCUAAAUUUUGUUUAUCUCCGAAGGAUCGACGCGAUGCGUAAACGUAUCCUUCGUAUCUUCCGCUUUAACCUGGCUACCAGGAGCGAGUCCCAGGACGAGGUGAACGAUCGACAGGGUGGUGGUACGUGACCUUUUGCGCGAAGGAUAACGGCAGGGAUGGGGUGGGGGACGCGGCGGUUUGCACUAUGGUAACACGGGGGUGAAUGCACGUACUCCAGGGGGCUUAUCCUGCAACUUUUCGACGCAUGCGUUUUGCGUACCGGAAAUUUUCGCAAUGCGUGACGUCACUGGUGUCGCGUCGGAGCACUGGUGUGCUUCCUCCCUCCCCCCCCCUCUCUCUCUCUCUCUCAUUUUGUAUAAUUGUUUUAAUAGAGUAUAAUUGUAUUAUGUUAUGCAGUGGUGAGAAUAUAUGUAUUUUAGAUAAUAUUAUUUAUGCAUGAACUGAAUUGACAUGUAUCUUGUUACUUUAUUUUUGCGCUUGUGAGGAUUAUUCUAGAACGCAUAAUAAAUAACGCUUUUUCCCUCCUCUCUCUCUCUGUCUCUUUCUCUCUUUCUUUUUGUUUGUCCACAAUGAAAGCGUAUUUUGUAGAUAAUUACGAUGCGAUUUUUAAUGUGCAUUAAAAUACUAAUUGUGCUACGCUUAUCGUCAUAACAUGAUCGAGCCGUAUGAAUCUUGCAGCGGGUUAUUAUAUGUUAACCAUAAUAGAUUAUGAACUGAAAUCGUUGAGGUCGCGACGCGGUUUCAGUGGCGUAAUGGAUUUUGGCUGUAUUGUAUGUAACUGGCGCUUAUAGAUACAUGCAGUCACGCAUGUACGCAUAAAUGUACACAUGUUACAUAUACUAUUACUUCUGUUUACGCGAAGCGGUUUUCUUGCUGAUUUUAUAGAAAUAUACUUAAAUAUCUCACAUAAUGGGUAAAUUUUUUAAAUUCCCAAUCUUUAAACGCGGAUCUUAGAUGGUAGAAUGCUGUUUUAUCACCAUUUCUGUGAACGGUCCUGUAAACGGAGAAGCGAGAGUAGGCACACAUGACAAGGGGUAGUUUUCAGAGGUCGUGGUGCCCAUUCGUAUGCAACCGGGAUAGCACCGAGCGUGGAGAAUCGAUGCGUGCAAUAUGUAUUGAAUUCUCGAUGUUCCCGAUUCCUUCGUUUUUAAUUUUCGAUUUGUAUAAGUAUUACGAGAAAAAAAAA